CCACUGCACCUGAUCCUGAGUUUUGAGGAAUAGCCACACGUGUAUUACCUAUCAAGAUAUAGAAUACAGUACCUUGCAUGUGAUUUACACAGUGAAUGGCCCUGCUUUCGGAGCAAGUUAAUGAUAUAAUAUCCCCAUUUAUAUUCAGAACAGUCAACACUUUCUAGCUUUCAGAAUAAUAAAAGCACCUGCAUUUAAUAUACAUGGAAGAAUGGGAAGGCAAAUAGCAGAUAAGGCACAAUCAGUAGCAUGGACUGAUCACUGAUUUCAGAAUGAGGAAUUAACCCACAAGGGAGCUUCAACCACUAAGGACAUUUUUAGUUAUAUUCUAAAUAUCAAGGUUGGAAAGACAACUGAUUUUCAGAAAGUUUCCAAUGACAGGAGUAGAAAGCAAGAAGGAAUUCAUGGAGAAACUUUUCUUAUUUUAAAAGCGGAACAUUUGUGGCUCUCCCCU